rnacentral:lncRNA from 1 species
GGUGUGUGGUGGUGAGCACCGGUAGUCUCAGUUACUGGGGAGGCUGAGGCGGGAGAAUCACUUAAGUCAGGAGGUCAAGGCUGCAGGAGCUAUGAUCACACCACUGCACUCCAGCCUACAGAGUGAGAGACCUUGUUGCAAAAAAUGCAUAUAACAUAUAAAUAGAUCAAUAGAUAACAUGCUACAACAUGGAUAACCUCCCAAAACAUGAUGCUAUUAAUGAUUGAGAGACACCAGACACAAAAUAAUACAUAUCACCUGGCCGGGUGGCUAAUGCCUGUAAUGCCAGCACUUCAGGAGGCCGAGGUGGGUGGAUCAUCUGAGGUCAGGAGUUCAAGACCAGCCUGGCCAACAUGGUGAAACCCCGUCUCUACUGAAAAUACAAAAAUUGCCAGGCACAGUGGCUCACACCUGUAAUCCCAGCACUUUGGGAGGCCAAGGCAGACAGAUCACAAGGUCAGGAGUUCAAGACCUGCCUGGCCAACAUAGGGAAACCUCGUCUCUGCUAAAAAUACAACAAUUAGCCAGCCAUGGUGGCAGGCGCCUGUAAUCCUAGAUACUCAGGAGGCUGAGGCAGGAAAAUUGCUUGAACCCGGGAGGUGGAGGUUGUGGUGAGCUGAGAUCAUGCCACUGCACUCCAGCCUGGGUGACAGAGCAAGACUCCUUCUCAAAAAAAAAAAAAAAAAGAAAAAGAAAAAAAGAAAACAUACUGUAUGAUUCACUUGAUAUAGAAUGUCCAGGAAGAGGCCAAUCUACAGAUACAGAAAGAAGGCUAGGAGAGCGGUUAGGGGCAGGGAUGGGCAGUGACUGCUAAUAGAUACAGAGUUUCUCUUUGGGAAACAAAAAUGUCCUAAAAGUAUUAUGGAUGGUGAUGGUGGUUUCACAACCCUGUGAAUACACUGAAAACACUGAAUUGUACACUUUAAAUGGCAAAUUGUAUGUCAUAUGAAUCCUACAUUAAUAAAGCUGUUAAACAUUUUUUACUCUGCUGAGCGUGGUGGCCCACACCUGUUAUCCCAGCACUUUGGAAGAUGAGGACAGGUGGAUAGCUUGAGCCCAGUUUGAGACCAGCCUGGGCAAUGUGGCAAAACCGCAUCUUUACCAAAAAAAAAAAAAAAAAAA